UGAGGAAUCAUUUGUUCUAUAGUGAAAGCUAACGGCCAGCAGGAAAACAAGAAGUCUUCAUGCAGCUUCAGUGAGAAUAUGUCUGUCGGUUCAUGGAGGUCAGGAGAGCUUGCCCUUGCUGUCAGCCCACGGGCAGGCCGGGAUUGUACAGAAUAAGAUGUGUGCUGUAACGGUGAGACAUGGACUUUGAAAAGACAAAUCAGCCAGCAUUGACUUCUGACAGCCAGGAACAAGAAAGCUUGUUUUCACAGCAACCCCAGUGGGCGCUCGGCUUCUCAGGUACAAAGCACCUUCCAGCAGAGGCAUGUUGGUGUGUAGGGUGAACUUCAGAAAUGUGUUUUACAGAAAGAAGACUGCUGCACAAUAAGAUGCCAGACUGAAAAUAAGAGAGAAAUGCUCUAGUACUCUGAGCAGUACUGACAGCACGAUCCUGGCUGAACAGAAGAUGAA